GAGCACAUACAAAGAAUACACAAAUAUUCACCCAUAACCGAACAAAACAUUUGAUAAACCUAGUAGAUGAGAUUGAUCAGUAAUACAUUUAGUACCGCAAGUGGAAACAUUUAAGCCAUACAUUGCAAAGAUUAACCCUUGUACCUUUCGCAUCAUGGUCUAGCAAGCAACCAAGACAAGAAGAUUCAAAGUACAUGAACCUAGAUGAGCUACCGUCAAGCAGCCUAAUGGGCUCACCCUUCUCUGUAGCAAAACAGUGGGAAGACUCAAAAGUACAAGUGAAACGCCUACCGAAUCUGGAGAUAGCUGGCUAACCCAUAAAGAAUAUCUGUUCAACCACAGACUAAACGAAUACAUUCUCUCCUGUGGAAAACUAAUAAAGGUACAGCUCUAUUGAAACAGGAUACAACCUGAAUUUGAGAGGAAUAUAAAUACUAAAAACCAGUAGGCCUUAAAGCAGCCAACUAACAAAAUAUCGUUAAAGAAUUAUCAUAAUACUAAACCAACAUAAUAACUAAAAACUCCAAAUUAACUAAGGGUAGAUCCAUUAAAUCAUAAGUACUAUCAUGCUAGAACUAAUAAUAAGACAACCUCUCUACAAUGCAUCUUUCCACUAGAAACGGAAACACCACUAGCCAUUAACAGACCUCACAAGGCAAACUACACACUACACAACUUAAACUAAACUGUUAACCUAACACAGGCGCAUUAAAAUGAAAGACCUAACAUUAUAAAAGGAACUCGGCAAACACAGACU
rnacentral:rRNA from 1 species